GGUUCUGUGGUGUAGUGGUUAUCACGUCUGCUUUACUAAUAAAGAUAAAAAAAAAAAAAUCACGUCUGCUUUACACGCAGAAGGUCGCGAGUUCGAACCUCGCCAGAACCU
rnacentral:tRNA from 1 species